rnacentral:lncRNA from 1 species
AAAGAGGGAUAGGCCAUUAUUGUUGGGCCGUGAGGCAAUGGCCCGCUUAGUUAAAAAAGGCUGGGGGUGUUGAACCGUUCGGUUCUCCCAGAAAAGCCCGGCCCAAGCGUUCAAUACUGGUCCAAUUAAUAGCCGACCCAAAAGGGGAAUCGGAAAGGUCACACAGUCAUUGGGCCAUGGAGAAGCCCAUUGUCAAAAAGAGGGAUAGGCCAUUAUUGUUGGGCCGUGAGGCAAUGGUCCGCUUAGUUAAAAAAGGCUGGGGGUGUUGAACCGUUCGGUUCUCCCAGAAACGCCCGGCCCAAGCGUUCAAUACUGGUCCAAUUAAUAGCCGACCCAAAAGGGGGAAUCGGAAAGGUCACACAGUCAUGACCUAUUAAUUAUGUAGUAUUUGAAUUUAUUGUUUU